rnacentral:lncRNA from 1 species
CUUCUUCUUGCUCUUCUUCUUCUUCUUCUUCUUCUUGUUGUUGUUGUUGUUGUUGUUGUUGUUGUUGUUGUUAUUGUUCUUCUUGUUUCUUCUCCUCCUCCUACUCUUCGUCUUCUUCUUUACCAUCUUCCUCUUCUUCUUCUCCUCCUCUCCUCUUUUUCUUCUUCUUCUUCUCAUUAUUAUUAGUAUUAUUAUUAUUAUUUUCUCCUCCUCCUCCUCUUGUUCUUAUUCUUCUUCUUCUCUUCUUCUCUUGUUUUUCUUCUUC